rnacentral:tRNA from 1 species
UGUGACAUAGCUCAAUGGUAGAGCAUGUAUUUAGCAUAUAUGAGGCCCUAGGUUUGAUCCCCAGCAUCAAAU